CAACACUUUAAAAAGGAAGCAUCCAGCUGAUGUAGGACCUUUGAAAAAUAUAAAAAAACAGAGGUUAAUUACCUCCCUCCACACCCUACUGGUGAAAGCCAAGAGACACUGGAGAAAGAGAGACUUGAAUUAAUUUGUGAAAUUACAAAGAAAAACAAUGCAAAGACAAUUGCAGAUAAAAUGAAUAAAACCUUCUCUAGCCGAAGAAUUGAAGUGGUCAGCCUCAGCCCCUCAGUUGGUGUGUUUAAAGAAAGGUGGCCAGCAUUAUUCACUGAGGCUCAGAUCAAGGAGGAGUUCAGACGCAUCACAACAGUUUCCUUGGAGGACACAUUCCUGCGGAAGCUUGAUGAGUACACACCUGGUCUUUUGCAGCUAAUGCGUGCCAAAGGAGGAGCAGCUGGUUGCAAGAUGCGUCCUCUGCUGGACACUUUAAUUGAAUGUUAUUUUAUUUUUUCACAAAUAUAUAAUUAUUAAUAUGAGGGAAUUAAAAGUGAAAUAAUUUGUAAACAAUUGCUUUGUUGUGUUAAGUUGAGCUCCUUACCAACUUAAACUACCUUUUAACAUCAAUGUGUGAAUUCGGUCUUAUCAAUCCAUUUUCUUUACUGCUUUAUCCAUUCGGGUUACGAGAAGCUUGAGCCAACCAAGCAUUUAUCAGGCGAAGGGGUAGGGUUCACCCUGGACAGGUCACCAGUCUAUUGCAGGACUGGAAUUCAGUCUUAGUAUAUGUAAAUCACUCCUCAUUCUGCUAAAUUGUAUCUCCCUACAGACACAGAACAUUGAGAAAAAAAGAGAUGCUGUUGUCUGCUGCCUCAUUAACUACCUCGGUGAAAGACAAGAAGAUCUUUUCCAUGACUGGCAGGAAUGUGAGACAAGUACACAGACAAGACGAUGAAGGUGAUUGUGAAACACAAUGUCAUGGCUGAGGAGGACGAUUUGUCCAUUGUGAUCGAGGGAAACCAAGUGAUGGAAGGAUGUGGAAGCCGAACAAAGGCAUGCAUACUGCUGAUGGGACUCAUAUAUGCAAUCAACAUUGAAUAUCCAAAGGAGCUGAAGAACACGUUUUAGGCUUUUCAAAAACUUUUUUUGGAAAUUGAUGGGGCAAAACUACUGAAGAAGGUCCAAAGCCUCAAAAAUAAGCUCAUGCAGUAGACAUUUCUCCUCUUGUUUGAAGAGGAUCUUUUGUUUGGAUAUACCUUGAUGGAGUUGUAAUGGAGUGUUUUAUAUUUUUCUUCUCUUCCCUCAUUUGCUCCACACACAGACACAGACCCAUCCACUGUCUCUCAGCCCUCUACAUUGCUCUUGUUUUCUCCCAUAUUGACAGAAAAGGAAUACUUAUAGAAAGUGGCCUGAACAAUUUUGAUCUCACCUACCCUCUUUUCCUCCCCAUUUGUUUAUUUUAUUCUCAUCCUAUCUGCGAGAGUGAGAGUAGGACAAAAACUAAAGAAUGUUGGUAUUUUGUUUUACUUUUAUUCAGAUAUUUUAUACUGUACAUACACAUAAACAACCACAAGUUUGUGUGUGCUUUUGGCUUUUAAAAUAGAAUAAGUGGCCUUUGAAAGUGUUGUAAGCAAGUAGCCAAUUAUCCAGAAAAAACAUUUGAAAAUCAUCUUAGUGAGUUAUAAUACAGGUUUAUUCAUUCAUUGUUGUGUUAAGAUGUACU